CAAAUAUGACUUCCUUUGAAGUAUGGUAGUUGUUCGUUCUUAGCUGCUCUUCUGGCAAAACAUCUUGCUAAUGGGGUUUUCCUUCCCCCCCGCCCCUGGCUUACCUAGGCAAAUAAGGAUUCUCCAGGUUCCCUCCCUUUGACUGAUGAUCAUUUAACCGCCAAAACCACAACGGGGCAUUUACUCUUGUAAAUGGGGUCAUUCCAUGUGCAUACAUGAGCUGCAGAUAUCGAGAGCAGAAGGGUGCAGCAGAAGAAAAACAAAGGAGGCGCCUAAGCAGAGGUCCACUUCUCCCAGUGAACCACUCAGAAGUCAUUAGAAGGAGCCCUUUUGUGAUACUGUAUCAUCUUCUAGGAAUUACUUUGCUGUAAGAGAAGAGUAAGAAGAAGGAAUUAAUGAUUUCCCUCCUCUCCUCCUCCCCCCAACUGGGCCUGAAAGAUUAUAAACUGAGGCAGAUCUUGUAUAUGAUGAUGUCAUCCAGUUUUACUUGCAAGUUUCCUCCCAGAAAGUACAGGAAGAUGGGAGACUCUGAAGAGGCUGUCUACACAAGGAUUAAAUUACACUUUGUCUUCCUUCUAUAGAUACCUCCUUACAUUGUAAACUGAUCUAAAAUAUAUAGUAACAUCCAAAAUUACAAAAAGUUUGUUAAAAUGAAUGUAUUUAACCCACACAGUGUGCUUUAAACAUACAUUUUUACUGAAAGUGUAAAAAGCUUUUGUAUAUUGAUGUAAAUACCAUAAAUGCCCUCUGCAAUGAUUUCCCUUAAAAAAAGUCAGAUAAUAAUUAAUAAUUUGGAGGAGCUACACUGUGUGCGAGACAUGCAUAAGCUAGAGCUAACUUCUGGUAGCAAACAUACUGGCAAUACAUUUUUUUUAAAAUAGAAUUUUUCUACAUAUUUCCUUUUUAUUAUCUCUAAGUGACAUAUGGUAAAGCUAAAACAUACAGAUAUAAAUUUGUAUAUAAUUUUCUAUUUCAAGGUCCAUGAGAGACCACAGAUUUAAUUUCGAUCUUGUUUAUGUUGGUUUUACAUCAAUGAAAUUCCACUAAUAGUUACUCCUGUCUUACACGGAUGGACGUAUGAUGAGAAUCAGGCCUUAGAUCUACAGGGGAUCACUUCACCCACCACUGAAAUGCAACCUCCUGAAUAACAGCAUAUUGUGAUAUCAACUAAUAGAAAAUAUGAAAUGUAUUUUGAAGGGAGUUUUCAACACACUGAGAUGUUGGAUUAUGUACCUAUUUCUGAAGAGAGUUUUGGUUCAAAGGAAACCAAGAAUUGUAGAUGUUCAUGGGAUAACGGUCAGUUUGAAAGACCAGGUAAAAGACUAGCUCUUUAAGAAUGGAGGUCAUGUAGUAAAGUAUGUGGGCCCAGAAAAUCUGUUGGAUUCUAUGGAGAGAGUCUAUAGAGAGCUAUAAAUAACUAGAAAGCAUUUAACCAAGAAGCAAUGGAAUGAGUAAAAUAAGAGGCAAAUUGUUGCGAUAUUAUGUUAGCAAGGUUAGAGAGUUGGAAAGCUUCCACCAGGUAAUGUUUUAUAGCUUCUAACUUUUGGUUCUUUCUUUACACAGUUUGUAAUAUUUUACCUUCCUAUAAUAUUGGAGCUUGAUUUUUGCAAUAAAGUGAUACUUAGAACUCUUAUUAUUUUUUUUUAAAUGGGACUUCCCUAAAUGGAAUAGUUACAGUACAAAGCCUAGUGUUUAGAAUAAAGUUUAAAAUUUAUUUUUCUCCACUGUUUGGGUUUUUUCUAUUGGAGAAAUAUUGAUUUCCCCUCCCUUCCCCUAAUGUUUUAAAUUGAACUGAAUUUAACAUAUGGAGCUCAUGUGUGUAUAGUUUCAUCUUAUACGGAGCCUUGUGCCAAAACAUCUUUGUGCAUUAACUUUACUAAUUGGUGUCAGCACACCUCUGGGAAUAAAUGUUAUUAGUUAACUGCUAUUUCAGAGCCAAGGACAACACAACUACUUAUUUUUUUAUAAGCACUACUAAACAAGUGGCUGUUUUUUGUCAAUAAUGAUGUCAUACAGUACAUAAAAUCCGAGGCCUUUCAAAUAUACAGUAGUAAUCAAUUUCAAGCAAAAAAAAAAGGGUUAUACCCUCAGCUUGUGUAAACUGCUGUGUUUACACAGGUUGAGGAUCUGGCCUGUAAGAGUUGGUGGUGUGUAUUUUAGAGACCAGUGAAGGAGAUAGGACCCAGGCUCAUGAGCUGAAUAUACGUGCAAAUAUAAGGGUCAUAGGUCAACUGGCUCCAAGGCAGAUGCUGUAAAUUGUACAAAAUAUACCACUGUGCUGAAGAUGAUUAUGACUGAUCUUGUCCAAGACUAUGUAAAGCUGAGUAGCAGAUGUGAAGUAUGUGCAGAAUAAAACAUUCCAAGCAGUCAUCAGACAAAGGGGAGUAUGUACUACGCUACAGAGAUUAAGCAAAUUGACUAAAUCAGAUUGGUAAGUCU